GCUCCGGUGGACUAGUGGUUAGAGCGUCCGCCUCAGAUGCGGAAAGUCCUUGGUUCGAUCCUCGGCCAGAUCA